GAUGAAGAACGCAGCGAACUGCGAUAAGUAAUGUGAAUUGCAGAAUUCAGUGAAUCAUCGAGUCUUUGAACGCACAUUGCGCCCCCUGGCAUUCCGGGGGGCAUGCCUGUCCGAGCGUCAUUGCUGCCCUUCAAGCCCGGCUUGUGUGUUGGGUCGUCGUCCCCCCCGGGGGACGGGCUCGAAAGGCAGCGGCGGCACCGCGUCCGGUCCUCGAGCGUAUGGGGCUUUGUCACCCGCUCGAUUAGGGCCGGCCGGGCGCCAGCCGGCGUCUCCAACCUUCUAUUUUACCAGGUUGACCUCGGAUCAGGUAGGGAUACCCGCUGAACUUAAGCAUAUCAAUAAGCGGAGGA
rnacentral:misc_RNA from 1 species